rnacentral:rRNA from 1 species
GACGAAGGGGGCUAGCGUUGUUCGGAAUUACUGGGCGUAAAGCGAGUGUAGGCGGUUGUCGUAGUCAGGUGUGAAAGCCUUGAGCUCAACUCAAGAAAUGCACUUGAUACUCGAUGGCUAGAGGACCGGAGAGGAUAGUGGAAUUCCCAGUGUAGUGGUGAAAUACGUAGAGAUUGGGAAGAACACCAGUGGCGAAGGCGGCUAUCUGGACGGUUACUGACGCUAAGACUCGAAAGCGUGGGGAGCAAACAGG